AGAGUUUGAUCCUGGCUCAGGACGAACGCUGGCGGCGUGCCUAAUACAUGCAAGUCGAACGAGAGCGACCGGUGCUUGCACUGGUCAAUCUAGUGGCGAACGGGUGAGUAACACGUGGGUAACCUGCCCAUCAGAGGGGGAUAACAUUCGGAAACGGAUGCUAAAACCGCAUAGGUCUUCGAACCGCAUGGUUUGAAGAGGAAAAGAGGCGCAAGCUUCUGCUGAUGGAUGGACCCGCGGUGCAUUAGCUAGUUGGUGAGGUAACGGCUCACCAAGGCCGUGAUGCAUAGCCGACCUGAGAGGGUGAUCGGCCACAUUGGGACUGAGACACGGCCCAAACUCCUACGGGAGGCAGCAGUAGGGAAUCUUCCGCAAUGGACGCAAGUCUGACGGAGCAACGCCGCGUGAGUGAAGAAGGUUUUCGGAUCGUAAAACUCUGUUGUUAGAGAAGAACAAGUGCUAAAGUAACUGUUAGCACCUUGACGGUAUCUAACCAGAAAGCCACGGCUAACUACGUGCCAGCAGCCGCGGUAAUACGUAGGUGGCAAGCGUUGUCCGGAUUUAUUGGGCGUAAAGCGAAGCGCAGGCGGUUCCUUAAGUCUGAUGGGAAAGCCCCCGGCUCAACCGGGGAGGGUCAUUGGAAACUGGGGGAACUUGAGUGCAGAAGAGGAGAGUGGAGUUCCAUGUGUAGCGGUGAAAUGCGUAGAUAUAUGGAGGAAUACCGAUGGCGAAGGCAGCCUCCUGGGAUAACACUGACGUUCAUGCUCGAAAGCGUGGGUAGCAAACAGGAUUAGAUACCCUGGUAGUCCACGCCCUAAACGAUG
rnacentral:rRNA from 1 species